GACGUAGGGCGCGAGCGUUGUCCGGAUUUAUUGGGCGUAAAGAGCUCGUAGGCGGCUUGUCGCGUCGACUGUGAAAACCCGCGGCUCAACUGCGGGUCCUGCAGCGAUACGGGCAGGCUAGAGUUCGGUAGGGGAGACUGGAAUUCCUGGUGUAGCGGUGAAAUGACGCAGAUAUCAGGAGGAACACCGGUGGCGAAGGCGGGGUCUCUGGGCCGAUACUGACGCUGAGGAGCGAAAGCGUGGGGAGCGAACAGG
rnacentral:rRNA from 1 species